GGCUGGUUAGCUCAGUUGGUUAGAGCAUGGUGCUAAUAACACCAAAGUCCAGGGUUCAAUCCCUGUGGCCAGCCA